rnacentral:rRNA from 1 species
AUUGAACGCUGGCGGCAGGCCUAACACAUGCAAGUCGAGCGGAGCGGCGGACGGGUGAGUAAUGCAUGGGAAGGGGCCUGGUAGAGGGGGAGGACGUCCGGAAAGGGGCGCUAAUACCUCAUACGAUCAGAUGAGCCGAGGUAGGAUUAGCUAGUUGGUGGGGUAAAGGCCUACCAAGGCCACGAUCCGUAACUGGUCUGAGAGGAUGAUCAGUCACACUGGAACUGAGACACGGUCCAGACUCCUACGGGAGGCAGCAGUGGGGAAUAUUGGACAAUGGGCGAAAGCCUGAUGCAGCCAUGCCGCGUGUAUGAAGAAGGUCUUCGGAUUGUAAAGCACUUUCAGUUGGGAGGCGUUACCGACAGAAUAAGCACCGGCUAACUUCGUGCCAGCAGCCGCGGUAAUUC